rnacentral:tRNA from 1 species
GGAGGUGUAGCUCAGUGGUAGAGUAUGUAUUUAACAUGUUCAAGGCACUGGGUUCAAUCCCCAGCAGCACCA